UGUCUGCUACCUGGCCAGUGAGCUGAUGGGCUCCACCCAGUGGGGCGCGGGCUCCGAUCCAGCCCCAGGGUGUUCGGGUCUCCCUGCUGCAGCCCCGGUGGCUGGCUGGACGGGGGGGACAGACUGUGGGCUCCAGGCCCCCGUGCGGUUCACAGUCACUCUCUCCUGCAGGGGCCAGGGCUGCCCCCGCCGCCAGCUCCCCGUCCCGCGUGGCCCUGGUGAAGCAGCGGCUCGGGGACCUGCUCAGCGCCCCCCAGCGCUUCCAGGAGGCCUGCCUGGACGACGAGUGUGCCUUCUACACGGGCCGGCCCCCUGCCCGCCUGCCCCCUGCCACCCGCUGCUGCACAGACCCUGUGGCCACGCUGCUGCAGGCCCAGGAAACCAUGCACUUUAUCCCCAUCAUGCAGGUGGCACCUGGGGGUCCCCCGGGGGAAGCUGGGAGCUCACUCCAGGCAAACCUGCCACCCCAGCCCUUGAGAUGAUGGAGGCGAACCAGCGCCCACCUGGGUUCUGCCAUGGAUCUGCGCCCCCUUGGCAGUGUCAGCGCAGGGGCUACCGCCAGCACAGGCAGGGCCUGGCUUGCCCCCCCACCUGCAUCCCACGCUGAUGGAUGGGCCAGGCGGGCACCUCCUGUUCUUUUUCCGGGGCACAGGGGGACAGGCCCCAUGUCGCCCCUGCUGCAGCCCAGACACCCCUUCCCUGCACUGGCUUGUUCAGGACCCCUGACCCAAGGGCUGCUUCCCUAGGCGACCCCCCCCGACCCCUGGCUGGAGACAGUGCCGUGAGUGCGUCGACCCAGCUGCUACUCGGGCUGAGCCUGUCACAUCCUCUGUGCUCCGCAGCUGCCAGCCGCCCCCAGCCCAGAUUGCAGGCUCUGGGCCUCUCCGCCUGCCCCUGUGAUCUGCAGGCCUGUCAGUGGCCCCUGUGCCCAGCCCCCAUCCACCCCUCUCUCUAUUUAUUACCAGCCCAAAGCCCGGGAAGCAGCAAACUCUGUUUUGAAUGACAAGCUGGCUGUUACUAUGUCACUCUAAUAAAGUAUUGUUUACACUUGGCC
rnacentral:lncRNA from 1 species